rnacentral:ncRNA from 1 species
AUAAAAUAAAGGCACAGCUAUCGAAAGAUAGUGUCGCAAAGCUAUGGGUCUAAGGGGUUACUAUGAUUGCCAGGUUGCCGUU